UGUUCUAUAUGUGUCAUCUACCCUGUGGACAGAAAUAGCCGUUACUUCCAGACUGUGUAUACUCAGGGAGGAUUCUCUCUGACAGAUCGUCACAACGGUGUGGUCAGCUGCCGGCAGGGGCGUAACUAGAAGUUUGUGGGCUUCAUAGCAAAAUUGACACCGCUCUCCUCAGCAGAAUUGGAAGUCAGUGCUUUCACUGUGCUCAUGUGAUCUGGAAAAGCCUACAUCUGUAUCUAGUAAUAUGAAAGUAUUAGUGGUCCUGAAAGCCCAGAUCUGCCGACACGCGCAUACAAGUACGUACAAUUGGAGAGACGGUUCCGACAAAGUGGUGGCAUAGAUAUAUCCGCUCCCCCCUCCCGGGACACUGUCAGGUCUGGUAUAGGAACUGCGCUGACAUUCUGCAAUCCAACUGAGUCUAGAUGCUUUGAUACGGAUACUGCCCAAAGCUGAUUAGGACUGAUC